CGUUCAUCUAAAAAUUAGGCUUAAUUUAAACUCUUACUUAGGGAAAUAAAAAUACAGUUAAUAUUAAUUUUUAUUUUUUACUUUCAUAGACUAUCCCAUUAAUAUCUUAUUCUAAGUAGCUUAUUCUAGUAGUUUAUUCUAACAACAUACAGGUGUCCACAGAACCAGACCUAGGAGUGACAUUAGAAGGAACAGAAAAGGCUCUAUGGCAGUGAACAUAACUGGCUCAGAUAGAUGUGUUGUGGAUCUAUUUGGAAGAAAGAUAUGCAAGGACCAGCAGAAGCCAUCUCAGUCAAGCAGAGACUGGUAGCACAUGCCUUGUAGCAACAGCCACUUGGAAAGCUGAGGCAGGAGAAAGAUUUGAUCCCACAAGUUUGAGAUCAACCUGGGAAGGACAGUGACUUAAUCUCGAAAAGAAUAACAAACAAAUAAGCAAAUAAACAACAAAACCAAACAAAACUCUUCUGGUCUUAUAGUUAUGUGAUGAAUGACUGAAUUAAAAUGUCAGCAACAGUGCUACAAAACAAAUGACAGGGUAGAAAGACAAUUCAAGG
rnacentral:lncRNA from 1 species